CAGCAGCCGCGGGAAUAUGUAGGUGGCAAGCGUUGUCCGGAAUUAUUGGGCGUAAAGGGCUCGCAGGCGGUUUCUUAAGUCUGAUGUGAAAGCCCCCGGCUCAACCGGGGAGGGUCAUUGGAAACUGGGAAACUUGAGUGCAGAAGAGGAGAGUGGAAUUCCACGUGUAGCGGUGAAGUGCGUAGAGAUGUGGAGGAACACCAGUGGCGAAGGCGACUCUCUGGUCUGUAACUGACGCUGAGGAGCGAAAGCGUGGGGAGCGAACAGGAUUAGAUACCCGUGUAGUCCCUGUCUCUUAUAC
rnacentral:rRNA from 1 species